rnacentral:pre_miRNA from 1 species
UCAUGUGGGAUCUUGCAUGAAAGGCCACAGUAGGUGAUGGAGCCAAGGAUGAUUUGCCGACAUCCACUCAUAAUCUGUCUGGACAAAUGCAUAUUGUACAUGACGUCAUGAUAGGGAAGGAAGUUGGCAAUUUGUCCUUGGCUACAUAUCUUGCUGUGCUUCUCAUGCCAGACCUUAGAUGA